rnacentral:lncRNA from 1 species
GAAAAUUAAAGAUAAAUACAUACACCAAUAAGACAUGCACAAGAAAUUUUUACCAAGAAAGCAUAACUUGCAACAAAGAUUAAAAGUUAGGAAGUUUAACAUGACAAAUGUCUUAACAUAACAUAGAAAAGUACUUGAAUAUGAAGACUUUAAACAAAUAAACAAAGAAAGCAAACAUGGUCCAAAGCUAAUCUUGAUUCAUAUCACUUGGUCCCUCUCUUUGAUGAAAAGCCUCAUAGUGGUACAUCCUAGUAGAAAGUCCAACCACAUCUUGCCUAAUCAAGCCAAAUUCCUCUCUUAUGUAUCCAAAGUAGAGAUCCAUCUUAUUGAACCAGACAUUCACGAUAUUGAUAACAUCUUGGUUGGAAGGACAAUUAUUUUCAUGUUGCUGGGGAGGAGGAGCAGAAGCCUCGCUAUCUUUGACAUAUGUGAUAACAUUUUCAAACUUGUUAAAUAAAACUCCCAUUUUUAUGUUAAGAAUUUCCAAAUUUAUCUCACAAUCAUCAGCAGAAACAUCCAAAUACAUCUCGUCUAAAAGUUUAACGUUGCACUUCCACACAAAAAAUUAACAUAUCAUCAUAAGGGAGACUAGCAUUGUUUUCAUUAUGAUGUGACAUGUGAUGCAUAAUCACAUAGACCCAAUUAACUUGUAUUUUGUUCAAAGUAGCAUACAACAAUUGCACUUCCAC